GACGAACGCUGGCGGCGUGCCUAAUACAUGCAAGUAGAACGCUGAAGGAGGAGCUUGCUUCUCUGGAUGAGUUGCGAACGGGUGAGUAACGCGUAGGUAACCUGCCUGGUAGCGGGGGAUAAUUAUUGGAAACGAUAGCUAAUACCGCAUAAUAGCAGUUGUUGCAUGACAACUGUUUGAAAGGUGCAAUUGCACCACUACCAGAUGGACCUGCGUUGUAUUAGCUAGUUGGUGGGGUAACGGCUCACCAAGGCGACGAUACAUAGCCGACCUGAGAGGGUGAUCGGCCACACUGGGACUGAGACACGGCCCAGACUCCUACGGGAGGCAGCAGUAGGGAAUCUUCGGCAAUGGACGGAAGUCUGACCGAGCAACGCCGCGUGAGUGAAGAAGGUUUUCGGAUCGUAAAGCUCUGUUGUAAGAGAAGAACGAGUGUGAGAGUGGAAAGUUCACACUGUGACGGUAUCUUACCAGAAAGGGACGGCUAACUACGUG
rnacentral:rRNA from 1 species